CUGUUCCGAUGCGCUCGCACUCCGCUCAGAUCUAGUUUCCUAGAUAGAUCGCAACGAUAAACUCUCGGCAGAGGCACACUUUGAAGUGCGUUCAGUGUAAAGGCUAUUGUUCUUUUUGCUCAGUUCAUACCUUUGGUGAAAAAGGUCUUAAAAAAAGUAUAUUUCAACCGUCGCCCGAAAUAGAAACCAUUAUGCCUCGAUCCGAUGCCGAUGAACUCCAGUGUAUAAGUGUUGGACGAAGUCACAGUAACCUACCCUUGUGAUUUGCUUCAACGUUAAAGAGUUCCAAUAUCCGUUGUGGGAACGGAGAUGCCUUAGCGGUCUCGUUCUUACAUCUGCUGCUGUUAUUGAACAUCAUCUCAAACCUCACCUGCACAAGUAGACCCCAUGUUUAGUACGCAAACCUUUCUUCUUGUUGAGCUGUUCGAUUCUGUCAAGUGUGUUCCUAUUUACGUCACAAGUGUUCCUAUUUACGUAUAUCGACACGUUUUCUCGUCAGUAAUAAUGCAGUAAUCCUACGAUUGACGGAGACGGUUAAAAUCAAUCAUACCAUAAUAGAAAAUAUGAUAAUCGUAGUUUCUAAACAAAACUCAUAUUAAUAUUGAGCAUUCUGUAC